ensembl:miRNA
CUGGAACUCACUUUGUAGCCCAGGCUGGCCUCCAACUCGCAGUGAUCCCCCUGCCUCAGUCUCCUGAGUGCUGGGAU